rnacentral:lncRNA from 1 species
AUGCAUUCGGCAAUACAGAUCAAGCCCACGACACAACAGCUUUUACACACACACACACACACACAGAGACACACACACACAAACACACAUACACGGCCCAAAAGUACAAAUUUUCUGAAGCCGAGUCGUGGUUUACACUUCAUGUAUUUUAUAUUUCUCUUGAGCCUCAGGCCGCCUCAGAGGAGGAGUUUCCCCGGCUUGCGCCCUGACGGCAGCAGGCUGGCUUUUCUAGAGUCCCCUGCACCGUCCAGGCAGCAGGGCGCCCCUCGUCUGUCCGUCUCCGCUCUGCCCAAGAGGGGACCCCGAGCCACUGGCAGGUGGCGGGCGCGCCGCUGGAGGACUCCGCCCGCGCAGCUCGGUAUCCGCCAAGCUCAGCUGGCUCGGGCCGGGCGGGCCGGGCACGGGGGCGCGGACUCUGCGCCCCCCGCCAGCCGCUGUCGCCCUGGCCGCCCCCUCACCAAUCCCCCCCAGCCCACCCCGUGCCAGGCGCGCCGCCGCCCCUCCGGCCGCUCGCGCAGGCCGGAUCUCCUCGAAUUUCAACACAAAGGGAAUCCUCGGCCGCAGGAAGUGCAUCACCAGGAAGGGGGGUCGGGGCGGGGAGAGGGGGGCGUGCCUCCGCCCCGACAGCCCGCCCCCCGGGGGCCUGGACGUGUCGUGACGACAGCCUCGGGGUCCCCCCGGCGCCCCCGCAACUGGAGACCCCGGAGGCCUGGGGCCCGCUCUCGCCCGGCGGCGCUGACCCGGCCGCCCCGGCCUCUGCUCGCGGGCGCCCGCACCUGGGCUGCCCCUCGUGCCCCAGCCCUGGUCCCCUCCCCGACUUGCCUCCCGCACGCCCUUCCCCUGCGGACUUUUCGUGGAAGCCGGGCUGCAGGUGCCCCGCUCCCGGCGGCGCUGCGCCCCCAGCCGGGGCCAGGCUUCCCCGGGGCAGGACGCAGGGCGGGAGGGCGUCCCCGGGCCAGCGGGGCGGCGGGCCCGGAGGGCCGCUUUCGUUUCCCGGACGCCGGCCGGGGGCCCGGCCGGGCUUGCUACCCGGAGCCGCGAGCCUGCGAGGGGGAAGGCCGGCGAGGCCCCGGCGCGCCCGGCCCUCAGCGUUCUCACUAG